CCUAAGACAUGCAAGUCGAACGAAGUGGCCCAUUGAUACUGUGUGCUUGCACAUAGUUGAUUUGGAUCCCACUUAGUGGCGAAAGGGUGAGUAACACGUGGGUUAUCUACCCUCAGAGACUGGAAUAACAAUUGGAAACGAUUGCUAAUGCCGGAUGAUAUAUAAGAUGAUACUUUUAUCGCAUGGUAGAAGUAUCAAAAGCUCUGGCGGUACAGGAUGGACCCGCGUCUGAUUAGCUAGUUGGUGAGGUAAUGGCUCACCAAGGCGACGAUCAGUAGCCGACCUGAGAGGGUGAUCGGCCGCAUUGGGACUGAGACACGGCCCAGACUCCUACGGGAGGCAGCAGUGGGGAAUAUUGCGCAAUGGGGGCAACCCUGACGCAGCAACGCCGCGUGCAGGAAGAAGGUCUUCGGAUUGUAAACUGUUGUCGCAAGGGAAGAAGAAAGUGACGGUACCUUGUGAGAAAGCCACGGCUAACUACGUG
rnacentral:rRNA from 1 species